rnacentral:misc_RNA from 1 species
UACGGAGGGUGCGAGCGUUAAUCGGAAUUACUGGGCGUAAAGCGCGCGCAGGCGGGCGAGGAAGUCGGGGGUGAAAGCCCGGGGCUCAACCCUGGGACGACUCUCGAAACUCCUGGUCUAGGGACCGGUAGAGGCCGGUGGAAUUCCCGGAGUAGCGGUGGAAUGCGUAGAGAUCGGGAAGAACACCAGUGGCGAAGGUGGCCGGCUGGGCCGGGUCCGACGCUGAGGCGCGAAAGCGUGGGGAGCAAACAGG